UCCUACGGGAGGCAGCAGUGGGGAAUUUUGGACAAUGGGCGAAAGCCUGAUCCAGCAAUGCCGCGUGUGUGAAGAAGGCCUUCGGGUUGUAAAGCACUUUUGUCCGGAAAGAAAUGGCUCUGGUUAAUACCUGGGGUCGAUGACGGUACCGGAAGAAUAAGGACCGGCUAACUACGUGCCAGCAGCCGCGGUAAUACGUAGGGUCCAAGCGUUAAUCGGAAUUACUGGGCGUAAAGCGUGCGCAGGCGGUUGUGCAAGACCGAUGUGAAAUCCCCGAGCUUAACUUGGGAAUUGCAUUGGUGACUGCACGGCUAGAGUGUGUCAGAGGGGGGUAGAAUUCCACGUGUAGCAGUGAAAUGCGUAGAGAUGUGGAGGAAUACCGAUGGCGAAGGCAGCCCCCUGGGAUAACACUGACGCUCAUGCACGAAAGCGUGGGGAGCAAACAGGAUUAGAUACCCUGGUAGUCCACGCCCUAAACGAUGUCAACUAGUUGUUGGGGAUUCAUUUCCUUAGUAACGUAGCUAACGCGUGAAGUUGACCGCCUGGGGAGUACGGUCGCAAGAUUAAAACUCAAAGGAAUUGACGG
rnacentral:rRNA from 1 species